UACAGAGGGUGCAAGCGUUGUUCGGAAUCAUUGGGCGUAAAGCGCACGUAGGCUGUUGAGAAAGUCGAAUGUGAAAGCCCAGAGCUUAACUCUGGAAGUGCAUCCGAAACUACUCGACUAGAGUCCUGGAGAGGGUGGUGGAAUUCCCAGUGUAGAGGUGAAAUUCGUAGAUAUUGGGAGGAACACCGGUGGCGAAGGCGACCGCCUGGACAGUGACUGACGCUCAGGUGCGAAAGCGUGGGGAGCAAACAGG
rnacentral:rRNA from 1 species